rnacentral:tRNA from 1 species
GCCGGUGUUGCUCAGUGGUAGAGUGUCGGCCUGACACCCUACAGUCACAGGUUCGAUUCCUGGUCAAGGGUA